rnacentral:lncRNA from 1 species
AUUUUUUGAAUUUUUUCUUCUUAAACAUUUCGAGAAUCUGGAUGUUACACGACUUAAGUCCCAUCGUGGUGCUGCUUUGUAGUUUCUAUUCUUUGUGUAACUCGAUCUCCCUGCCGAACCACCACGACGGAGCCAAUGUUCUUCUACCAAAUACAGAGAUAUGGUUGUAUCCUGUAACAGUGUUGAAGAACAUUUGAGUGCGUCUUUUAACGACGCACGUCGGAGAUGCCUUUGAGUCGAUCACGAGAGAGGAGGAAAGGACUAGCGGCUGCUGGACUAGCAGGUGGCUGCUGCCAUGAUGGUUCUCUUCUCUCCUUUGGUCCCGUCUCUCUCCUUUUUAUGGAGCUCCGCGCCCCGUCGUGUCACCGUGUCGCUCUCCUCUCCCCUCUCCCACAUCUUAUUC